rnacentral:rRNA from 1 species
CAGUAGCCACGGGAAUACGAAGGGGGCUAGCGUUGUUCGGAUUUACUGGGCGUAAAGGGUGCGUAGGCGGAUUGUUAAGUCAGGGGUGAAAUCCCGAGGCUCAACCUCGGAACUGCCUUUGAUACUGGCGAUCUUGAGUCCGGGAGAGGUGAGUGGAACUGCGAGUGUAGAGGUGAAAUUCGUAGAUAUUCGCAAGAACACCGGUGGCGAAGGCGGCUCACUGGCCCGGAACUGACGCUGAGGCACGAAAGCGUGGGGAGCAAACAGGAUUAGAUACCCCGGUAGUCCCUGUCUCUUAUAC